rnacentral:tRNA from 1 species
AAAAAGAUAGACUAAAUUUUUAAGUCGUUAGAUUCAUAAUCUUAAAAUAUAUAUUAAUUAUUCUUUUUA